UACAGAGGUCCCAAGCGUUGUUCGGAUUCACUGGGCGUAAAGGGUGCGUAGGCGGUCGGGUAAGUCUGACGUGAAAUCUCCAAGCUCAACUUGGAAAUGGCGUCGGAUACUAUUCGGCUCGAGGAGUGGAGGGGAGACUGGAAUUCUCGGUGUAGCAGUGAAAUGCGUAGAUAUCGUAAGGAAGACCAGUGGCGAAGGCGGGUCUCUGGACAGUUCCUGACGCUGAGGCACGAAGGUCAGGGGAGCAAACGGG
rnacentral:rRNA from 1 species